rnacentral:rRNA from 1 species
UACGGGGGGGGCAAGCGUUGUUCGGAAUUACUGGGCGUAAAGGGCUCGUAGGUGGCCAACUAAGUCAGACGUGAAAUCCCUCGGCUUAACCGGGGAACUGCGUCUGAUACUGGAUGGCUUGAGUUCGGGAGAGGGAUGCGGAAUUCCAGGUGUAGCGGUGAAAUGCGUAGAUAUCUGGAGGAACACUGGUGGCGAAGGCGGCAUCCUGGACCGAUACUGACACUGAGGAGCGAAAGCCAGGGGAGCAAACGGG